rnacentral:rRNA from 1 species
AUAAGACUCUUGGCAACGGAUAUCUAGGCCCUCGCAUUGAUGAAGAACGUAGCAAAAUGCGAUACUUGGUGUG